UGAGGAAUAUUGGGCAAUGCCCGCAAGGGUGACCCAGCAACGCCGCGUGGAGGAUGAAUGUCGUAAGAUUGUAAACUCCUGUUAGAGGGGAAGAAUAGUACCGGUUGGACCGGUAUAUGACUGUACCCUCAGAGAAAGCCCCGGCUAACUACGUGCCAGCAGCCGCGGUAAUACGUAGGGGGCAAGCGUUGUCCGGAUUUACUGGGUGUAAAGGGCGCGCAGGCGGGAUAAAAAGUCAGUGGUGAAAUCCUACAGCUUAACUGUAGAACUGCCUUUGAUACUUUUAUUCUUGAGUUCGGGAGAGAGAGACGGAAAUCCAGGUGUAGCGGUGAAAUACGUAGAUAUCUGGAAGAACACCAGUUGCGAAGGCGGUCUCUUGGUCCGACACUGACGCUGAGGCGCGAAAGCGUGGGGAGCAAACA
rnacentral:rRNA from 1 species